CUUGACGACCAUAGAGCGUUGGAACCACCUGAUCCCAUCCCGAACUCAGCAGUGAAACGACGCAUCGCCGAUGGUAGUGUGGGGUUUCCC
rnacentral:rRNA from 1 species